GAUGAACGCUGGCGGCGUGCCUAAUACAUGCAAGUCGAGCGAACAGAUGAGGAGCUUGCUCCUCUGACGUUAGCGGCGGACGGGUGAGUAACACGUGGAUAACCUACCUAUAAGACUGGGAUAACUUCGGGAAACCGGAGCUAAUACCGGAUAAUAUAUUGAACCGCAUGGUUCAAUAGUGAAAGACGGUUUUGCUGUCACUUAUAGAUGGAUCCGCGCCGCAUUAGCUAGUUGGUAGGGUAACGGCUUACCAAGGCGACGAUGCGUAGCCGACCUGAGAGGGUGAUCGGCCACACUGGAACUGAGACACGGUCCAGACUCCUACGGGAGGCAGCAGUAGGGAAUCUUCCGCAAUGGGCGAAAGCUUGACGGAGCAACGCCGCGUGAGUGAUGAAGGUCUUCGGAUCGUAAAACUCUGUUAUUAGGGAAGAACAAAUGUGUAAGUAACUAUGCACGUCUUGACGGUACCUAAUCAGAAAGCCACGGCUAACUACGUG
rnacentral:rRNA from 1 species